GGGGAUGUAGCUCAGGUGGUAGAGUGCUUUUGCCUCACAUGCACAAGGCCCUGGGUUCAAUCCCCAGCACCACAA
rfam:Ictidomys tridecemlineatus contig090548, whole genome shotgun sequence.